rnacentral:rRNA from 1 species
GACGGAGGAUGCAAGUGUUAUCCGGAAUCACUGGGCGUAAAGCGUCUGUAGGUGGUCAAAUAAGUCAACUGUUAAAUCUUGAGGCUCAACCUCAAAAUCGCAGUCGAAACUAUUCGACUAGAGUAUAGUAGGGGUAAAGGGAAUUUCCAGUGGAGCGGUGAAAUGCGUAGAGAUUGGAAAGAACACCGAUGGCGAAGGCACUUUACUGGGCUAUUACUAACACUGAGAGACGAAAGCUAGGGGAGCAAAUGGG